ensembl:lncRNA
GCCAAGCACUCAGAUGCUGAUAACAUGUACUGUGAGAGCUGCCAGUGCUGCUGAUGCAGUUUUUGGGCUUUAAGAUCUUCUAAGUUACUAAAGAUGCUAUUAGAAGCGAUCCUCUUUGCACAUGCAGAAUGAUGCUUGGAGAAUUGUUUUUAAUGGGUCUUUGAAAGGGCAUGGGGCUGGUGCCUCUGGGGAGCAACAACUCAGCUGAAGUCCUCCAGGAGCAUCCUGCAUGGAUAUCACGUGGAUUAUCUGCCUGGCUAAUCAGAGAAAAACUUCAGUGCUGGCACUGGAAAAGUUACGGCACCGAUUGUAUUUCUGCUUUAAGGAUCCUCUCUGCUCUGGGCAGUGCUGUGAAGCUGCAGGAUGUCACAGAUCUCUGUGCAUUGUGAGAGGUGAGAUACACCAUCAUUGGCAUUUGGGGACCCUGGGGUGAGGAAUACACGACAUCUCCCCCUAUGGGAUGUUUUCC